rnacentral:rRNA from 1 species
UACGGAGGGGGCUAGCGUUGUUCGGAAUUACUGGGCGUAAAGCGCACGUAGGCGGCUUUGUAAGUUAGAGGUGAAAGCCCGGGGCUCAACUCCGGAACUGCCUUUAAGACUGCAUCGCUAGAAUUGUGGAGAGGUAAGUGGAAUUCCGAGUGUAGAGGUGAAAUUUCGUAGAUAUUGGGAAGAACACCGGUGGCGAAGGCGGCUCACUGGCUACGUAUCUGACGCUCAGGCGCGACAGCGUGGGGGAUCAAACAGG